rnacentral:rRNA from 1 species
UACGAAGGGGGCUAGCGUUGCUCGGAAUCACUGGGCGUAAAGGGUGCGUAGGCGGGUCUUUUAAGUCAGGGGUGAAAUCCUGGAGCUCAAUUCCAGAACUGCCUUUGAUACUGGGGAUCUUGAGUUCGGGAGAGGUGAGUGGAACUGCGAGUGUAGAGGUGAAAUUCGUAGAUAUUCGCAAGAACACCAGUGGCGAAGGCGGCUCACUGGCCCGAUACUGACGCUGAGGCGCGAAAGCGUGGGGAGCAAACAGG